CUUAGGGAAUCUGACAGCGUGUCUCAAUUCCUCAUCUUCAGGGUGGGGAAUGCAGGGAAUGCAGGGAAACAUUGGAGCACAUAUGCAGAUGAUAACACCGACGAUGAUGUGAAGAUUUUUGUGAUUCCCUGCAGAGGCCUUCAGGAAGGGGUUUCCACUGUGCUGGGGUUUGUUUUCUUCACGUUCCCACUUUCUGGCUCACCAGAGGGAGGCAACCUGCUCUGAUCAGCAAGAAGCCUGCACUUUCCUG
rnacentral:lncRNA from 1 species